UACGUAGGGUGCAAGCGUUGUCCGGAAUUAUUGGGCGUAAAGAGCUCGUAGGCGGUUUGUUGCGUCGGCUGUGAAAUCCCGAGGCUCAACCUCGGGUCUGCAGUCGAUACGAGCAAACUAGAGUGUUGCAGGGGAGACUGGAAUUCCUGGUGUAGCGGUGAAAUGCGCAGAUAUCAGGAGGAACACCUGUGGCGAAAGCGGCUCACUGGACCACAACUGACGCUGAGGCGCGAAAGCGUGGGGGAGCAAACAGG
rnacentral:rRNA from 1 species